rnacentral:lncRNA from 1 species
AAAUCAGAUAACGCUGGGUGGUCUGGGUUAGUUGUACGCUUUCCCCUAAAGAAUUUCAAACAGUUUUCCUGGUAUCAUCCCACUUGUCCUUAGGGUUCUUUAGUUUCUGGACAGUUUAUAUUUUCCUUGGCAGCUUGCAACGUGAGAAACUGAGGUACUGCCAUUUAAUCGACUUCUCUUUCAAGGAAAAUUGAAAAACUCUGUGGGGAAAAUACUAACAAUUAUUUGGGCCCUGACUGUGGAUUCUGAAAAAUUUAUUCAUGGAAGGGCAGAAUACGUUACUAUUUCCAGAACAUUGCCAACAGCAAAGAGAUUAUGCCCGGAAUUAAGUACAGCCCUGUCUCCUUUCUCCUGUGCUUUGAAACUCAGUGUGAGAAAGCAAUGGAAUCUUCCCCCACUUCAGGCCAAAUUAGGUCAGAAAACUUUUACUGUGAGCCUUUAAGUCAUAGAAUGCACUGGAAAGGAGUAAAAAAAAACCUAUGAUCUGUGCAGUUACUUGGUCGGUUUUUGAGUGAGGAGCACAGGGCGUAUCUUGCACACUGUGGCAGGGCAUAGAAGAGAAGAGAACCCUUCUUGGAGGUUGCCUUAUGUGUCCUGAGAUAGGAAUUCUAGGGCUUUGCUUGAUUUGCUAGGCUCAGAGCUCAGUGGAGGAGAGCAAGGUCAACAGCAC